AUGAUCUGGCCAUUACCCAGUUUGAGAUCAGUGAAAAACUUUCUGUCUAUAGUGCUGGCAGCCACAGAAAGGAACCAGGGUGCAAGAUUCACCAUUGUGUAACGAUUUGGACCCAAAUUGUCUGCUGUUUUAGAAGUUAAUAUGCCACUCUUCAUUGCAUGGUAAGCUCCUAUUGCAGAUUCAUCAUCAAAAUAUUCCAGGUGUUGGACCUUUGUUGGUCCCACUGAAAUAGAAAUAAUAUCAACACCAUCCGCAAUGGCUGCAUCAUAUCCUGCAAGAAUGUCAGUAUUCAUACAACCCGAUGUCCAACAAACUUUAUACACAGCAAUGCGUGCUGAUGGAACUCCUCCUCUUGCUAUUCCUGACCCAAGCCCAAACAGAUUUGCAUUGGGAACACGGUUUCCAGCUGCAGUGGAUGCACAGUGAGACCCGUGACCAGAAGUAUCAGUUGGAUUUAUGAUGUCCUCUGGCUCGAACUGACCCCCAAUACGAAAAUAUCUUGCCCCAAUUACUUUGCUACAAACAAUUCAUAAAGCAAGCAUUCAUAUAUAAGUAAUUUAAUGGUUACUUAUAUCUUUUAAUAAUUAUUACUUUGAAAAUUUUAUUACUUAAGUUUAGGUCUAUGUGUUUGGAUCCAAGUUGAUUUACUAUUGGCAUGAAAAUAUUUAAAAUGUGAGUUUAAAAUUUGAAACCGAACAUGUUGUUUAUGUAUGUGUGUUAUAGCAUGUUAUAAGAAACAUUACUUACUAAUUGCAAGUGAAGUUAUCGCAUUUUCCCUUCCAUUUCUGUGGUGGUGGACCAAAGCCUCCAUCAGUAAAGCUACCGGAAUUAGCCCAAAUUCCACUAUCGAUUACUCCAACAAUUGUGUUACUUUCUACAUUUGUUCUUGGGACAUUUUCAGGGAAGUUAAGGAAGUCCCAGGACCUUGAUGUUUGGACACUGUAGACUCUUUCUGGAAUAACAGACACCACACCAUCCAUUCCUGUCCAACAAUUCCAAAUUUUCACAAAUCAUAAUUAGAGUUGCACAGAGAAUGACAAUCAUAUUAAUGUAGGAAUAUGACAGGAACCAAAACCAAAAAUAUAUUUAUGAAUAAAGCAAAAAGCUGAUGAAAAUGUGGUCUGAGCUAAUAGACACAUAUCUGUAAUUGGAAUAUUUGAAGUACUCUGUUUAUUAAUAUAUUUUAGUUCUUUUUUUGAAAAAAAAAACUUACCUUUCAUUCUUUCUGAUUCUUCUUUGGUUAGACUCGCCACAAAUCCAUUGAAAGUCUUGUAGCGGUGCAGCAAAGUAUCUGAUGCAAAUUUGCUGGAUGGAUAUAUAUAUCAUAUGGAAUUUUAAUUAGUUAAAAAAGUUCAUAUUCUUGAUUGAUAAUAGGUUUAAAAUAAAAGAAUUGUUCUCUUUUUAGACAAUGUUAAACUAAGCCUCAAUUGUGAGUGAAAAUCUGUUAAAGUGAGUUCUGUAGAAACAAUUAAGGGUUAUCAACCUGCCCAGAACACUUUGAACCAUACUGGUGUGAAAUGAAUCUGUGAUUUCCAUGUCCUUUGGAUAUUCUCCCAUGUAGACUAUGUAAAGCUGUAGUAUGAACAAGAUAAAUUAAAAAAAUAAAACAAUUAAAAUAAUAGUCCCGCUAGGUGAAUUUCACGUCGAUGCUUAAACAUUGAAAAUAUUAUGAUGCAUAAAAUCAUUUUUAGGUUAAUUUGUUCAUUUUGAAUAUAAUCCAAACUCUUUUUUACUUGAAAGUAAUCCAAUAUUUUCUUUAAAAAAAUAUGCAUUAUUAGAAUUAUUUUAAAAAAUCAUAAAAAAUAAAAGCUAAGAGUAAUAUAUGAAAAGAUAUAACUUCUCACAAAUAAAAAGAAUGUGAAAAUUAUUUGAGGAAAAAAAAUAUAAGUACAAAGUAUUGUACAAAAGAGAUACUUAGAAAUAUAUGUUUGCAAAAGUAUAUUUAUUUGUUCAGGUUAAACAAUAUUGAAUAUGUAUUAUUUACUUUCCGAUCAUCUUUAGAAAAUGAGGGAGUCAAUAGCAGAAUGCAUGUAAGAAUUUGAAGAAGAUGCGACAAUAUUAAAGCCUUCAUUUUUCGCUGACAGUAAUCUUGAUUAAAUGAUGAAUGUGUGUUUUCAAGAUCUUUCAACCUGUAAGUAAAUUAAUUUAUUAUGUUAAGUAUAUAUUUGAAACACAUAUCGCAUUGCUCAUACCCUAAAAUUUGAUAUUGGAAAUUGUAAAUAGAAGUAUAAAUUGAGAAUGAAAACAGUAACAAAGUAGAUUAAGCACAACAAAUUUAUUUUAAUAUAUAUUAGUAAGGUAUAACAAAGUGGAUUGAGAAGUUAUACAAUGUACUAAAAAGUUGGUUUUGUGAUUUUUUAUUUAUUUUUAGAUAACUGUUAUUUUAUCAAUUCUAGUGGUUGAAGUUGAGUUGAAUUGGAUAGGUUGGUGAAUGUGUUUAAUAUAUUAUUUUCUUGAAAAUUUAUUUUUUCAUAUAUUUUAUACAUUUUUUUAUAUAAAUGAUAAAUAAAUAUAAAUCACCUAAGGAAUGACUCAACUUUUAUACAGAAAAUAAGAAGAAUAUAGGAUCUCACUCUCGAGUCUAUCCCAAACUUCCAAGAAAAACUACCUACAAAUUCUUACCCAAAAAUAACUAAUGAGAUCCGUCAUUGGCAACAACCAGGAUAUAUCAUUACAUCAAAUUAUAAAAUACAAACAAAUAUAAUCAGUUCACUAAACAUUAAUUAAUCUCUAAAAGUAAAGAACCUUUAUUUUUAUCCUCUUUACAAAAAACACAACAUCUUAACAUGUCACGAGCACAACAAAUAAAAAAAAAUAUUAUUCUAAUAUAAAAGGCAUUUUACACAUAAAAUUUUAAACUACUGUAAAUUUUGUCAUUUAAUUUAAAUUUUAAAUGAGAUUAACUUUUCACUAUGGUUUUAAAUUAUUACUAAAUGGGGUCUUCAAGGCAGCAUGUAUGCUGAAAAGUUAAAUAACUUUGUAUUAAUUAAUUUAAAUACGGAAUAAAUAAUAAAUAUAAAAAAGUAUGAUACAUUCUACUGUUUUAAGUGGUUUUUCAAGUCAAAGCACUGACUGAAAUUAAUUAGAUGGUUUGAAAAAAAAAAUCAAAUACAAUUUGAUAAAGUUUGGUUUAUGAUGAUUUAUAAUUCAUUGUAUUAUGAGGUGAACUUUAAGUCUAACUUAACUUCAUAAAAUUAGUUCAUGAAGUGAGCUUUUACACCCACUUAUUUUCUCAUCUCUAAUCAAUAUGGGAUCUACAACAAAGUGAGUUUUUAGUUUUUAAAUUGAGAUAUAAAUGAAAUAAUAGAAUUAGAGCAUUGUUAUAAAUAUAGAACCAGAGAACAGAAGCAAUAGAAAAUUAUUAGGAAAAAGAGCUAUAAAUGAAUUAUGUAAUAAAGAUAGGAAUAGAUGAGAGACAUACACAACUUAAGUCGACCGCACAUGUUCAUCUAUCUUGAAGAAAGGAUGUGAAUACACACUCUGUCUCACCUUUUAUAGCCACUACAUUCGAUGGCUUCAUGGUCCACGUUUUGCACAAUCAAUUUUCAAGGAGAAAAAUUAAUUUGAUUGAAUUUUUAAAAGAAAAAACUAUACACUCCAAUAGAAAUUGGAGUUUCAUAAUAUAACUAUACUUCUUUAUAUUAAUCCUUUUUUUAAAUAUUCAUUCAGAAGAUAAUAUUUUUAACUGUGUAAUGUAUUGAAUAUUUUUUUCUAAAAUAUGUUUUAAAAAGAUAAAGAAAUUUUUUUAACUGUGUAAUGUAAUUCUUUUAACACAUGAAACAAGAAUUAUUUUUUUAAAUAAAAUUUUUUAUAUUAGACAUCACUAAGAUUUUAGUUAGACUCACAACUUAAAUAAAAAUAAUUAUUAAAUAUUAUUAAAAAAAAUAUGAAGAAUUAAACCGAAAUACUCACAACUUAAAUAAAAAUAAUCAUUAAAUAUUAUUAAAAAAAUACAGAAAAUUAGACCAAAAUCCAUAUAACUCAAUUCUUAAUCUAAAAUAGCACUUAAUUGAAACAUUGAGAAACUCAAUUUAAGGUUUUUUAAGAAUUUACCUAUGAAAUAUUUUAAUAAUAAAAUUUGGUAGAAUAUUUUAAUAUUUAGUUAUUUUAAAUACCUCCUUUAAUAUUUGCAAUACAUGAAAGGUAAUUUUGUUUUUUUUAUAAAGAUUGACUACUCGUACUUCUUUUAUUUAUAUUUUCUAUUAUUGAUAAAAAAAAUAUAAAAGUAGUUUUCACACACUUGGAAGAGGACAUUAGGGAUAAGUGUUUGAAGUCCGCAAAGCAUUGGUUGAGAAGAAAUUAAAUAAAGAUAAAAAGUUUAAAUUAAUUUCUAUAGUUAGAAAAGAUAAAAGUGAAAAUAAUUUUAAAGUUUUUUGAAAUGCUGUACAGUUCUUUCUUAUUUUUAAUUUACUUCAAUCAAAUUUCUUUAAAUUUUAUUUUAUUUUUUCACUCUUAUUUGUACACUUUUCUUUAUUUUUAUUCAUUUUAUUUAUCUCUUCUUUAACAAAGAGGUAUACAAAAAUUAUGUUAUUCUCGUCAUUAUAAAAAAACCAUCAAAUUAACUUAUGAAUAAACAUCAAAUUUAAUUAAUCAAAUUUGUUUAUAAAUAUUAGUUGAAUACUAUUAAAUUCUAAUGUGAUAAAAAAAAUUAAAAAAACUUUAAAAUAAUAAUAUUGAAUAAAUAUUUACAUUAGUGGAAGAUUAGCAUCACUUUAACAAUGCUAACUCUUUCUAACUUCUUUUAAUAAGUUAAUUUAUUUAUGAUGUCAAACUAUCAUCAGAAUUAACUAAAAUAGAUAAGAUUAACAUUAGUAUAGUUGACACUAAAUUUAUUUAAUUGAAUAUUUAUAUUUAUUUAAGUUAGUAUCAACUUAGUCGGUAUGUUAUGAAUUUGUGUACAUUUAAGACAACAAAUAAAAAUUGUAGAUUAUUUUUAAUCUAAAGGUCCAGAUUUAAAGAUAAUAAAUCUCAUCACUCCAAAAUUUUCUCUCUCACAUUCUAUAUAAACAUCCUUAUAAUCAUUUCCUUUAUUCACAUUCAUAAAUCUCCUCAGACUCAUUUCCUUCAUCAACAUUCAUCUCUUUUAUCCACUAAUCUCCUUCACUCACACUCAUUUUCUUCAUCCUCACACAUCUAAUUCAUCCACACUCUUCCCCUUCUUUCUUUCAUUCACAUUCACGUACUUCAUCCACGUUCAUCUUAUUCCUCCACUGCAAUUUUUUUUUAUACUUUAUUUUGUUGAAAAUGGGGGCUCCUCCCAAAAAUAAGUCCUUUUCUCUAAUUUAGAUUCCACACCUAAACAUUAUUAACCCAUUCCCUAGAGUUAGAGAAAUUUCCUACUUAUUAGCGAACAAAGAAAAGAGCCUCGUGAAUCUACAUUUCAAGGCCCCAAACUCACCCAGUUGUCAUCCCAUAAAAGGAUUUCUCUCCCAUUUCCAACCUCCCAGUUAAAGCAGUCUUCGAACUUCCCUCCCCAAUCCUCUGACUUCUAAAUCUCCUUCAAAACUUUCCACCAAGAGAAACUUUGUAGUUAUUGUCCCUAUGCUCUUUCAAGCUUUUCCAACCUCCAUACUUAGACUCGAUGAUCUCCAACCACAGCCCACCCUUGUCUGAACUCAGACGCCAAAUCCACUUUCCCAAUAAGGUCACAUUGAAAAGCCUAAUAUUGGUAAUGCUAAACUCGCCCGCUUCCCGAAACUCGCAGACUUAUUCCCAAGCAGCUUAGGCUAUCUUCCUCCCUUCAAACCCCACCUCUAAAGAAAAUUCCUCUACAGACUCAAGAUCUUCUUCAUCAUAGUAGAAGGCAUCUUGAACAAAGAAAGAUAAAAUAAUGGGAUAGACGACAAAAUAGACUUUAUUAAGCAAAUCCUCCCUGCCAUUGAGACGAAUCUACCCUCCCAUCUAUCAGUCUAUUCUUCAUCCUCUCAACCACUUCAUCCCAAAACACGUCACUCUUAUGACACCCUCUACUGGCAUCCUCAGGUAUUUGAAAGGAGUUUUCAUCACGUCACAAUUGAGAAUUGUCGCAAAACAGAGGAUCACAGUCUAAUCGACCCCCACCCCGCAAAUUAUGCUCUUCAAGAAGUUCACCUUUAGACCAUAAGCCAACUCGAAACAAUUCUGAAUAACCUUUAUGUUAAACAAACUUUUAUAACUUGCUUUAUAGAAAAAUAAAGUAUCAUUUGCGUAUUGAAGCAUGUUCACUUUAAUCUUCUUACUCCCGAUCUCCAAGCUCUCAACCAAAUCUUUCUAAACCGCUUUCCUAGAAACCCUAACAAGGCCUUCAGUUGCUAUAAGGAACAAGAACAGGGUCACCUUGCCUCAAUCACUUCUUCAAAAUAAAUUCCUUAACCGGGUUUCCAUUUACUAUAAUUAACAACGACGUUGAUUCUAGACAAGAUUUAAUCCAAGAAAUCCACUUUUCACAGAAUCUGAGCCUUCCUAACUUAUAAUAAAUAAUUUCCCACCUCAUGGAUUCGUAAGCCUUCUCAUAAUUCACCUUGAAAAAGACACAACUUUUCUUCUUCCUUUUCAUCUCAUCUAGAACUUCGUUGGACACAAGAAUGUUAUCCAUUAGCCCCCUUCCUUCAAGGAAAGUAAAUUGGCUAAAAUCGAUGACUUUACUAAUCACCUUUUUCAGCCUGAGAGACAAAAUCUUUGAUACGAUUUUGUUCACGCACCCUACCAACGAAAUGGGUUUGAAAUCACUAAGUUAUUGCGAAUUAUCUGACUUAGUAAUCAAACAUAUAAAUGAAGCGUUUUACCCCCUAGGCCAUUUACAUCUGACACAAAAUCAUUCAUAGCCGAUAGAAUAUCCUCCUUUAGACAGUCGCAACAGAAGUUAAAAGCGUCUGGACCAAGGCUCUUCAAACAAGCACAACUCCAAACUGUAGUUUUAACUUCCUCUUCAGAGAAAGCUCCUACCAACAACGCAUUGUCAUCACUAGAGAUAGAAUUAAAACAGUCAUUGUCCAACCUGACCUGAGGCCUAGAAACCCCAUCGAACUUGGCUUUGAAAAAAUCUCUAACAUUUGCCUUAACCACCUCUUUAUCUUCGCACCACUGAUCAUUCUCAAGAAUGUCAUUGAUCUCGUUCCUCACUCUCCUCCACUCCACGAUCAAAUGAAAGAAUUUUGUGUUUAGAUCGCCUUGUUUCAGCCAUUUAAGACGACCUCUUUAUUGCAAAACAACUUCUUGUUUGAAAAAUUUCCCACUUUGUUUUGCUAACAAGAGUCUCCUCACCUCCCUCUCAGGCUUAUCUAGAUCACUUUCAUAAUCUCUUGCAUCCAGGUCUUGAAUUUUCUUUUGCAGAUCUUUCCCUACUUGGUUAACAUUUCCGAAAAUAUCUCUAUUCCAGAUUUUCAAAUCUGAUUUCAACUUUUUCAUUUUUUUCUUUUAAAACAAGCAACCCUCCACCUUGCACCUCAUAGCUAUGCCAUUUACUGGGAACGGAUUUUCUAAACCUACCAUCAGUUUGUCAAACAUCCAAACUUCUGCUUGUCAUUUGAAAACAAUUUCUUCUCCACAUCGUAAUAAUCUCUCCUACAUUAUUAACAACACCAUUUUUAUUAAAAGUCAAUAGUUACAUCUAUAAUCUAGUAUCUUAGGGUUUAGGGUUUAGAGUUUACAUUAAACAUAUAAGAAUUUAUACAUACAUGAAAAAGUCUAUUAAAAUAAUAUAAAUAACUUAAUUUUUCUUAGAUAAAUAUUGUCCUUUUAUUAUACAUUUAUUCAUUUAACUUUUAAGUAUGAAAGUGUCUUAUGUACUACACGCUUGGAAAUAAAUUUUGAAUGAAUAAAAGUUUGCAGAUAAAUUGCAAAUCAUAAUUCUUUAUUCCAUUAUAAAUUAUAUCGUUUUAAACUUUAUCCUUUUGAAAUAUUAUUUAGGAUAAAAAUAAUAAAAAAUACAAUCAAAAUUUAUUAAAAGUCCUUAAAAUCUUUAGAUUAAACUUAGUUAUUUAUAAAUUAUUUUUAAUAAAAAUUCAAAGGUAAAAAUCUCACAAUAAAAUUUAUAAACAUUUUUAAAUUUUUAGGUCAAUUCAUACACAAUAAUUUAUAAAUAAUUUAUAGAUAAUAUGUAUGUAAUUACCUACUAAUCUCGUCUAUAUUUAAUUACAUGUGAAUGUGGUUGAUAUGUAUGGAUGAAAUUUAUAGAUAAAUUAUGUACAGAUGAGAUUUAUAUAUAAAUAUGUGGAUGAGAUUUGUAGGUAAUUAUUGACCUCACUUCUUACCUUCUAACCUCAUCCAUCUAAAUAAACAAAAACCCUCGUCUUCACACAAAAUCUAAUAUUCCAACUUAUAAGGAAGAACUAAGUGAUAGAACUUUAGAACUAAGUGGUAGAACUUUUGCUUCAAAUAUAUCCCCAACAUACUAUUGCACUCUAUCAUACCACAUUAUUUGGAUAAAUGUAUUAUAGAAAAACCUUCUUACAUACUCUAAUUGAUCUUGAAUACAAUUAUCUGCGCUAUGUGUGAGUUAAAGGAGGAAACAUGUCAACAUACUUUCAUUGAAUGUGAUGCUGCUCAGAGGGUGUGGGUGUUAUGUCUUAGAUGGAUCGGCAUUGUAUCGGUCCAGCAGAAUACCAUCUUAUCUCAUUUUGAAAGUUUUUACCUACCCCAACUUAGUAGUAGACAAAACCUCUUUUGGAAAGGAGUGUGGGCAACUACAGUGGCAUGUAUUUGGGAGCAAAGGAAUUUCGUUGUCUUUAGACAAGGGAAAGUAGAUGUGGAGGAGAUUGUUCAGAAAGUCCAGCUUAAAUCCUGGCAAUGGCUAAAGCACAGGGGCUCCUCUUUUAACUAUUCUUUUACAGAUUGGGUGCUGAAUCCCCUUAUCUGCAUUAGAAGUUACAAAUAAAUGGGGAAGGAUGUCAUGAUCGCCGGUCGAUGAAUUGGCGCUCUCCAUAUGUGUGUAGUCGGUGGUCGCCAAAGAUAUGCAAGGUCAACAUGAUCGCCGGUUGAUGAAAAGGCGAUCUCCAUGCGUGCGUAGUCGGUGGUCGUCGAAGGUAUGCAAAUGUCAACAUGAUCGCCGGUCGAUGAAGCGGCGUUCUGGUCAACAUGAUUGCCGGUCGAUGAAACGGCGAUCUCCUAGCGUGCGUAGUCGGUGGUCGUAUGCAAAGGUCAACAUGAUCGUCGGUCGAUGAAACAACGAUCUCCAUGCGUGCAUAGUCGGUGGUCGUUGAAGGUAUGCAAAGGUCAACAUGAUAGCCGGUCGAUGAAGGGGCGUUCUCCAUAGGUCAACAUGAUCGCCGAUCGAAGAAGCGACGUUCUCCAUAUGUGUGUAGUCGGUGGUCGCCGAAGUUAUGCAAGGUCAACAUGAUCGCCGGUCAAUGAAACGACGAUCUCCAUGUGAGCGUAGUCGGUGGUCGUCGAAGUUAUGCAAAGGUCAACAUGAUCGUCGGUCGAUGAAACGACGAUCUCCAUGUGUGCGUAGUCGGUGGUCGUUGAAGUUAUGCAAAGGUCAACAUGAUCGCCGGUCGAGGAAGCGGUGUCCUCCGUAUGUGUGUAAUCGGUGGUCGCCAAAGUUAUGCAACGUGCAUGGGUAACUCGUCGUAUGGCGAGGUGAAUGUAGGUGGUCUCGGUUCUGGGUGUUUCGGUAAAGUUGAAUAUUGCUUUAAGGUAACCUGUUGGUUAUAUUUUUGGGUUUGGUUUUCUCACUUUAAAGUUGUUCUGCUCCAACCAUAAAGGAGAGUUUCUUUUGUGGAUGAUAUAGGAGGUCCACUUCAAGUUACUGUAUAUGGGUUGGGAUACCCCUGAAGUAUCCCCUUUAAUUUUAUUUAUUCAUUGCUGAUAAAAAAAAAACAUUUAAGAUACCUAUUAACCAUGCUAGUCCUACAUAACACAUUCUUAUUUUCUAUUAUAUAAAAAAAACCUCCCUAAUAACCCCAAAUAUGACUUCCAAUGUACCUUUAUACAAACAAUUUAUAUACAUCACUACAUUCCAGAAAAGAAAAUAAAAAUAAAGGAAAAAAGAAAACUCAGCGAAACCUUUAAAAAUAUCGCAUAUCAACCAAGUAUAACAUUAUUAGAAAUUCAUUAAAUAGAAAUUAAUUUUAUUGAUAAAAAAUUAUUAAUUUUUAUAUUAACUAAAUUAUAUAUUAUUUUAGAGACUAAAAUAUAUGUUGAAUUGUUGGAUUCUGAAAUAGAAUGUAGGGUAUGAAAAAUAUAAAAUUAAUGUGUAUAAUGGUUGGAAAAUAUAAAAUAUGUGAUAUUCAAAAUUGGUAGUUGGGGUGAUUUUAAAUAUAACAUGUGUUAAAUUCGAUAUUAUAUUCUGUUUUAAUUUUUGUGAAUUUUGUUCUUUACGAUGGCAUUGCUCAAGCAAUGGAUAUGCACACAAGAAGAUUUAAAAACAAACAAAUUUGAAAAAGAAGGUUUGGAAACAAAGAUAAAGUUGAAUACAAAGCCCAUCGUUUAUGAAGAAGGCCAGAGUAUAGGACACACCAGUCACGUUGAAACCGACGUAUACAUGCAUAAUGUUUAUGAAAAAAACAAAUCCAUCUUUUACCGAAUACAGCAUGAAUUUCUAUAACAUGAAUUCCAGUAAAUAUUAAAAAUAGAUUUUACAGAAUAUAUCUAAAUAAAAUUUUGUUUUGAUAAUAAUAAAAUAUAGCAAUGAUCAAUUAUGUAAUUAAUUAAAUUAACUUUCAAAAUUGUUUUUGUAAGAAAACAAACACUAAAAAAAUUAUUAAAUAAAAAAUAAUUUUAGAUAUCAAAAUAAUUAGUUAUUAUGUAAUUAAAUUAGAGAACAUUUUACAAAAUAAAAAAAUUAUUGGUAUUCGGAGUAGUUUCUAUUAUUAAUAAAAAAUUAUAAAAUAAUUUAUAAAUUUGUAUUUUUUUUAUCAGCAAUAAAAAAUCAAUAAAUGGGAACCACUUUAGGGGUGGUCCAACCUUUUUACAAACACACAUACAAUUUAACUCCUAACUCACCCAAAACCGCCGGUCAAAAGACCAACCAAACCAAGCGCUAACUAGUUUUACCGAAUCAGCCGUAUACAGGCCAAAGGAUCCAAAACCCAACAGGGAUAGGAAAAAUAAACUUCGCGGGACUUUGCAGUAAUCCAAGACCACACCUUUACUUGUGCUAAGGCAAAAACUUCUAACACAUCUGCCACUCCUCCAUUAAAGACGACCGAGUUCCUAUGCUUCCAAAUUUCACUCACAAUUCCAACCAAAAUUGCCCCCCAAACAUCAUUAACCGAAACAGAUGCCUGACUCAACCUGAAUUGAAUAAAAUUUUGCAUUGGAUCCAAAUGGAUUACGAACACACUCCAAGCCACUCAAAGCAAAGGCACCAGACCCUCCAAGCAAAGUCACAAACGGCGAACAAGUGACUCGACGACUCGUCGACCUUCCCACACAAGCAACAUACAGGGUUUUCAACCACCAUCCCACGCCUUACCAAAUUAACCCUAGUUGCAAUCCUAUUUUCCAAUACUCUCCAGGCCAAGAAUACAGCAGAAGGCAAGGCUUUACACCUCCACAACCUACUGUAGAUCGGAGAGGACUCCCCAUCACUAACCCUCCUUACCUUGCUAUAAGCUGAGUUAACAGUAAAACUUUGAGACCCCUCAGCCUUCCAGACCCAUAUAAAUUGGUAUUUAAUCAUUAGCUACCAAAGUUUUAACUAUUUAUUAUUGUAUAUUCUAAAUUAGUCUUUAUUAAUCUUUUAAAGACUAAUUUAGAAUCUAAAAUAUUAGUAGUUAAGAUCUAGGUAUCUAAUUUAAAUAUUAAUUUAUAAAUUAUUUUAUAAUUUUUUAUUAAUAAUAAAAUUUAUUUUAAAUAUCAAUAAUUUUUUAAUAUCUAAAUUACUAUAUAUUUUAACCUUAAUAUAAUGAUUAGUUAUUUUUUAUCUCUAAAUAUAAUUUUUAUUUAAUAAAAAAAAUUUGCACAAAAUUCAGGAAAAGCAAGUGAAACUCUUUUUUUUUAAUAUAUAAUAUACCCAUUUUGAAAAUAAAGAAAAAGUAAAAGCAUAUAAAUUAAAAAUACAAUACAUUUCUAAUUUUUUGUUGGCAUAUUUUAUGGUGAUAAAAUAUGAUAUUCUUAAAUGAACCAAUCCUCAUUAUUGGUGAGAAAAUUAUAUACUUUUAUUCUAAAUUUUAUAUUUUAUUUUAUAUUAAUACCUCAUAUUAAUUAAAUAUAUAUGUUAAUUUUUUUUAUUCUUACAAGAAUUGUAAUUUUCGUGAGAUGUCAUUAAAAGAAAAUCAGAUUUACCAACACAUUAUUACUAAUGAAUCUGAAUCUGUAGAUAAAUUUAGUAUUUCUUACUGAUAUUAUCAACAUAUUUAAAUUCACAUGUAAAUUCAGCAUUAUUUACAAAAUAUUAUUCACAAAACUAAAUUUGUAAACAAAUUCAACAUUACCUACAAAUUAUUAUCCACAAAUUUUUUUUUAUCAGUAAUAAAUAAAUUUAAUUAAAAAAUAGAUACUUCAGGGUAUCUUAACCCUGAUACAAAACAACAUAUCUCUAUUUGUAGGUAAACUUUACAUUAUCCACGAAUUUAUAAUCAUAUAUAAAUUCAAUAUUAUUAUUAAUAUAAAUAUUUUUAUCAACAUGAUUAAUAAUACUAAUAUUUAUAUUUAUAUUAUUAUAAUAUUAAUAAUAUCAACAAUAUAAAUAAUAUCAAGAAUAUAAAUAAUUUUAAUAAUAUAAAUAAUAUUAAUCAUAUAACUAGUAUUCAUAAAUAAUAAUAAAAAGAUAAAAAGAAUAAUACAAAAUAAAAGAAAUAUAUAUGCAAGAUUAUUUUUGAAUCUAUUCACGAACUGGACUGGAUAAGUAUUACCCGUAGACUCAAGUUAGAUGAUAUUAUUUACUAACUCAAAUUGAUUACUGAAGUUUGUGGUAUUCUCUAUGAAUUAGAGUUAGUGAGUAUUACUUAAAAACUGAGUAAGUAAAUAAUAUUAUAAUAAGUAUAAUAAUAAUUAUAAUAUGAUAAAAGAAUUUAUUGGAAUGUAGUGGUUAAAGUUUUUUUUUUGUUAGUCAAAGUACUUAAUUUUUAAUUUUGAGUCCUUAGUAUAUGUUUUAAUGUGAAUUAUAUUUGAACUAUUAAAUGUAUUUAGAAGAAAAAAAUAUAUUACUGAUUUAUAAAAUAAUAUAUUGAUAUUCACUUCUAAUUUAAUUAAUCUAAGUGAUUAAUAUAAAAUAAAUAAUUUAUAUUAAAAAUAAUUCUUUCUAGUUAAUGGAUUUUUUCUGUAAAUUAAUCUAUGCUAUUAUUUAUCAAAAUAAUUUGUUCAUUAUUUAUAUUGAGAAUUUAGUUUGCAGUAAAAACAAUGUGAAAUAACGUCACUAGUGUUAGAAAACUUGUCAAAAUUCGAUUUUGAAAUAUUCAAAUUUUAUUUAAUUUUUUUUAUCCUUUUCAUUACUUUUUGAAAAAAAAUGGAAAAUCUUAUUAAGUCUAAUCCUAAGUGGAUUUCCGGAUUAAUUCAAAGUUAAUCAAGCAUAAUAAAUACGUAUACAGUGAUAAAUGAUGUGGUCACAGGUAUAUGAGAUUUUUUUAGAAAUGAAAUGAGUUUAUUGAAUAAGAGAAAAAUUGGCAUACCGAUAUUUAUUUAUACACAGUUAUGAAAUAUGUUUGAAUCUCCACCCCAUCUGUUCCUUCUGAUAAGAGGAUAAGAUAUUUGGAUUGUGAUAUCAUAUUUAAGCACCACUAUCACAUGUUUUUUGUCUUCCCCUCCCCCACUGUUUUAUGUCGUUGUUUGAUUUGUCAGUGCUUCACAUGUUUGUUGUUCUGUUAUUCACAUAUUUUAACUUUUACUUCAUCUCUUUAACUUAUCUUUGAACUGGAAGAAGGAUUUAAGAGAAUAGAUACAUGCAGAUUUAAAAGAAAAAAUAUGGACAAAAUAAUGUAUUUUGAUUAGAUUAUAUUAGACUAGAAGUAUAAAAAAAAUAUUGAAAUUUGUAAAUGAUAUUAUUAUUUUUUAAAAAAAUUAAAAUAUAAAAUAUAAGUUUAUAAAUUUAUUUUUAUAAUUAAAAAAUUAUAAAGAAUAAAAUAUAAAUAAUUUUUUAUAUUAAAAUUAAUUAAAUUUUGUAAAUUAUUUUUUAUACCAUAUUUUUGAAAAAAAUACAGAUUAUAUAACAUUAUCGAAACAUGUAAAAUUGUUAUAAAAAUAAUAUAGAAAAUUAUAUUCAUAUAAAUGUAAUUUUUAAAAAUUAAUUUAUUUAUAAAUUUUAGUUAUUUGUAAUUAGAAUAUUAUAUUUAGAACUAACUUUCAAAUAAAAUACAGAUUAUUGAAAUUUAGGAGAAAAUAAAAUUUAUCAGAAAAUAAUUCUUUGGAUUAAUAUUUUCAUUUUUUAAAAUAUUAUUUUAUUUUUAUUAAAUUAUAUUAUAUUAUAUUUAAUUAUAUAAUAAAUUAUAUUAUAUAUAAUCGUUUAUAUUAUGUUAAUUUUUUAAAAUUAAUUUUUUAUAACUUUAAUUAUAUUAUUCAUAUUUAGAUUGUAAUUUUUUUUAUCUAUAAUUAUUUUAUUAAUAUUUUUAUAAUUUUAGUUAUAUUUUUUUAUAUUUAUUGUAUGCGCAGUAGAACAAUGUAGAAAAACAUGUAAGGAUAAAAAAUAUUUAUUCAAGCGAUUCAAUGGUUUAUUUAAUUUUUCUUUACCAAUAAGAAGAUUGGUAAACAGUAUAACCCCACGUAUAUAUUCGCUUCUGUUUAUGAGCAAACCAGUAAAUCUAAAUCGAGAAUAUUUCUGUGUUUUCAUCUUUGUAAAUAGUAAAUAGUUUGAACCAAACUUAACAUUAGUUAAAAGGGUUUUUUAUGUUUUAAAAUUUCUGGUUUAUUAUUAUUUUUAAAACUUAAACCAUGGUUCAUACUUGUGAGGAUUGAAGGAAGAGAUAUAGGAGAAGAUGCGAUUAAGAAUGGAGGAAGUCGAAUAGAUGAUAAAUGUUUACAAUGGUGAGUGUCUAAAGAGAAAGUUAGUGAGACCAACAUUUCAAGUGUUUAGUAGGCUUGUAAAUAAGAAGAGACUUAAGAGAGAAUGAAUUUUGUAUUUAGAAUUUUCAAUCACAAUUAUAUCAAAUCCGAUUACAGAAUGUAUAUGCAAGAUAUUUAUAAGCAAACGAGAUAGUAUCUGUCGCAAGCUCCUUACAACUACACAUACAUCUACAAAUACUUGUUCUAUUACAAAUGUCUUAUACUUUAUUUAUUGUAUAUAUAUGGUGACUUUGGAUGGUACUCCAUCAAGAACUUUACAAUAGCUUGCGGCACAAGCUAUCCUUUUUGCCUAUAAAUACUUGCAUAUACAUUUUUGUAAUUAGAUUUGAUAUAAUUGUGAAUGAAGAUUCUGAAUACAGAAUGCAUUCUCUCUCAAGUCUCUUCUUGUUUUCAAGUCUAGAAGGCCAGUAGAUACUUGGAAGGUUGGCCUCACCAACUUCCGCUUCACACACCAUUGCCAACAUUUAUCAUCUAUUCGGCUUCCUCCAUUCUUAAUCACAUCUUCCGCUGCAUCUCUUCCUUCAAUCCUCACAAGUAUGAACCACGGUUCACAUAGGUGGAUCAUCGCACCUAAGAUCCUCAGGCCAAGCUAAGUACAUUCUUCCAAAAAAAAAAAAUUGUCAAUGUUGUUCUUCACAGUUCAUACUUGUUCUUGGCUAUUUUAUCACUUUUUCUUGUGUUUCCACCGUUUAUUCCUUGUUUCCACCGAUUGAAUUUUGUUUUUCACCGAUUAUCACUUUAAUAUUUAAAAUUUAUCAAUUUUUUGAAUUUCACCUACUCAUUCAAAAUUCUCUAAAUGAACAUUUUUUUCUUUAUAAUUAUUUUCAAAUAUCUCCUUGUAAUAAUGAUCAUUAUUAGUUAAUAAAUCAAAAGAAUAAAAUUUGAAACAUACUUUAGAGAAGUAUGAUUUACAACAAGAGUUCAAAGGUAGUGGAAGGAUAUUUGAGUCUCUUUAGUUCUUUUCAAGUGUGACAACUCCAAAAUUAAGAUCUUUAAAUUAACAUAUUAUUUAGUGAUUGUAAUAGGAAAUUUGAUUGGGUUUUACUCAAGAUUAAUGGUUGGAGAUUCGAACGCCAAAUUAUACAUGAGUAGUGAAUGUAAACUUCAUUUUAUAAGUCAAUUUUGUGAUGUUGAGCUAGACAUUAAUAAACUUAUUAAGAUGAUAUUAGACUUUAUUCUAACGAGAUAUGUAGAACUGCGUUCGAGAAGCUCAAUCUUUUAUGCGAUGGAGUAUAUUAAAGAUUUCACAUUAAUUAGAAAUAAGAACAAAUUAAUAUAUAUGAAUGAGUACAAAUUUCACCUUACAACAACAGUAAAAUCUUCUCUUUAAGUUGUUAUUAUAGUAACCAUUUCGAGUUCGAAAGAUAGUUAAUAAAUCAUAUGCAUCUCAUGAAAGUCCUUUCUUCUUUAGUUUUAAUUGAAUUGCAAUAAAAAUAUUUUUUAAAAUUUUAUUAUUUGGUUAUCGCUAUAGUUGUCGUUAUGUGAAGGAUUAUGGAUGUCUACAAUAUAGUGACAUUUAUAUUACUAAGAAAAUUAUAGAACAGUUUUUAAAAUAAAAUAUUAUAUUAUAAUAAAAUACUAAUAUUUAAGUGUGAAAUGAUGGUUUAAAAUAUCAUUUACACAAUGUCAUCUCAUUUCAAUAACCAAUGAUAAUGAAUCAUAUAAUAUAACAACGACAUCUGAAUAAGCAGUAAAAAAUACUUUGGAUAAAAGUAAUUAUUACCUUGAUUUUAUUCCUGACUUACACAACACUUUAUCAUAAGUUCUCUGGCUUACAACACACCCAGAAUACUUAUUCACUAAACUUCAACAAGAAGAAAAAAAAGAGAAACAAACAACCAAUUACACAAUCAUUGCCAUUCACGUUGGUAACAGAGAAUUUAUGGAACAUAAACAACAAUGGGGCUCCUUACCUGAUGAGUGCCAUCAUCCCAAGUCAAAGAAAAAGAAUCCAAGUCUGCAUUAAUGGUUCCUUGAAUCCUAAGGGUGAAGGACAACCUUUGACCCAGAGAUGUGAAGGUUAAAACAUUUGGUACUACUUGGAUGUUUAAAGAAGAUGGAUAUCCAGAUACUAUUGCCCUAUAUGUGGAUCUAGCUGAUCCAACAUUAGUGACAGUUCUACCAUAAGAGACACUGUUGUAACUUGAGCGAGCGGUUGCUAGAGCAAAAGAUGGGAGGUUAAGGUUGAAAACAGAUCCUCUAUUUGCUGAUGUACAAGUGUUGUUAUCUCCUGUAAUUCUUCGCAGUGUUGUUGUACUAUAACCUUGUCCACACAGAAAAUUAAUAUAAUCAUUCGGACCAACAUCAUAAACUAGUCCNNNNNNNNNNNNNNNNNNNNNNNNNNNNNNNNNNNNNNNNNNNNNNNNNNNNNNNNNNNNNNNNNNNNNNNNNNNNNNNNNNNNNNNNNNNNNNNNNNNNAUAAUUGAACUUAAUCUAGUUUUUCCCAACAUAAAUGUACUUUAGGGUGGUAAUGCAUAAGGUUUUAGGUUAUCAUAUUUAAGGAUAUGAGUUACUCAUGAUCUCACAACAAAAAUAAAAGUUCCAUAUCUAUAUAUGUGUAACUGAAAUCAUAUGUGUGUAUUCAAAUUAAAAACCCCAACAAUAACCUAGGUGAGGAAAGAAAAGAAAGAACUAGUCUUUUUAAAUUAACCAUGAAGGGUUCUUGAAUUUAUAUAUAAGAAAAGGGCAUAAAAUGAGUUUAGCAUGCAUGGAAAGGAGACAAUUACCAGUUGUCAUCAAUGCGGAUUUAAGUACAGCAGGAGACCAGCUGGGAUGAAAUGAUUUGACGUAAACAGCUGUUGCAGUAACAUGAGGGCAUGCCAUUGAAGUUCCAGAUAUUAUAUUGAAAUACGAUGUUCUAUUAUCUCCUUUAACUGAAGAAAUAGGAGAAAUUGGAGACCAUGCAGCCAGAAUAUCAACUCCUGGAGCUGCUAUAUCAGGCUACACCAUCAAGAGAUAACUUAUAUAUAAGCAAAUGACCUUGAAUCGGUUGGAUUGAUUGUAUAUUAUACUAUGAAGUUACCUUAAGAAUGUUUGGAGUGAUCCUAUUUGGACCUCUUGAUGAGAAAGGAGCAAUGUAAGGGGCUCUUGAGUCUUUUCUUUCGUAACUCUUGGAUAUGAUGGCUGUUGGAUUACUACAAAUCGGUGACAUGACAUAUAAAUUAGUUAAAGACUAGUUGAGCAAAAUUUUAUACCACUUAUGUAUGUAUAAUCUUUCAUGUGUUAGAUUUUUUUUUAUCAGCAACAAGUAAGAUGAAGUAAAAUGAUAUUUCAAUUCUAUUCCAAUUCGUAUAAAAAAUAAAAAGACUUAGAACACAACAUAACAAUCUACAUCUAUACUAAUAAACUAAACGAAAUACAACCUGUGCUACAACACCAAAGACCAGCAGAGGGCUAGCUUUUAUUAUCUUUUGAUGAAAAGUUCUGUACCUUGUUGACUUUAAAUAAUUAUAUACGGAUUGCCCAUCAUUUAGGUUAAUGUGAAGUGUUGGCAAUGCAAAUACAUCUGCGACAACUAAAGGUGAUGUACUUGUGAAUAUAACACCAGCAGCCCCAGAAGCAAAUCCCAGACGGAAAGAAGAAGUAUAGCCUUCACACAAAACAAUUCUCCCACUCACCAAAGCUCCAUUCAAAGAAUUGUCACGACAAAGCCUAAGCAAUGUUAAUGUUAGAAUGAAGUUUUGAAUUGUAAUAGAAAGAUUAGAAACAAAUUACCAAAUAAUAAGGCUAAAUUACUUUGGCAAUUCCUUUAAUUAUUUAUAAAAUUCAAUUUCUCUCUCAAUAUACUACAAGAAAAUAGUUAAAUAAAGAUUAAUUAUAAAAAUAAAAACUAAUUAGUUAUUAUAUUAACUAAAUUAAAUAUUAUUUUAAAAAUUAAAAAAAUUAUUAAUAUAUAAAGUAGUUCUAUUAUUAAUUAAUAUUUUAUAAAUUAAUAUCUAAUUAGUUACCAACUAAAUAGAUUUAAAAGAAUUAUUAAAGGUUUAUAAUUUUAUUAUAUUUAAAAAUCAAAACUUGAAUUUUUACAGUUUAUUAUAGUGACAUUUUUCUAUGAUGUGUAAUUUUUAUUUUUUUAAAUAAAUUUUAAUAUUAUUAUAGUGAUGAAUGUUUAAAAAAAUCUUCACUAUUUUGUAAAAUUAAAAAUUUCAAUCGUUACAAAGUGUUAACCAUUAAUUCAAUAUUGCUUCUUUAACUCUGUCAACUUGAAUAGAUUAAAAAAGAGCAUUGAAUAUUUAAAGAAAAUCAAGACAUCCUUUAAAAUAGAGAAUGUAUAUAAAAAUUUAUAAAUAAAGAAAGAAAGUAAGAAAAGCAAUUAAAAAGAGAUAUUGGUAAAUGUUGGUACCUGGAUUCGGAACUAUUAAAUCCAGGAGCUGGUACAUCUCCACCAUAAACUAGAGGGUAACCAUUCUGUGGUGGACUAAAUGUAUUCACUGAAAUUCCCUGCAUAUGUUGAGACAAAUCUUUUAUGAUACUUUUUUAAUAUUUUCAAAAAUAAGUAAAAGAAUUUAAAGGGAUAAUUACCUGGAUGACCUGGCCAUUGCCCAGUUUGAGAUCAGUGAAAAACUUUCUGUCUAUAGUGCUGGCAGCCACAGAAAGGAACCAGGGUGCAAGAUUCACCAUUGUAUAACGAUUUGGACCCAAAUUGUCUGCAGUUUUAGAAGUUAAUAUGCCACUCUUCAUUGCAUGGUAAGCUCCUAUUGCAAUGUCAUCUUGAAAAUAUUCCAGGUGUUGGACCUUUGUUGGUCCCACUGAAAUAGAAAUAAUAUCAACACCAUCCGCAAUGGCUGCAUCAAAUCCUGCAAGAAUGUCAAUAGUCUCACAACCCUUUGUCCAACAAACUUUAUACACAGCAAUGCGUGCUGAAGGAACUCCUCCUCUUGCUAUU
rnacentral:lncRNA from 1 species